UUGUCACCUGAGGGGGGAAUAGGAACACCUUUAUUGUCACCUGGACACGUUUGUUGUCACCUGAGGGGAGAGGGGGACAGGUCCAGCCAGGUGCCACAGGUGGUGCUUGGGGACAGCGUGGGGGGGACACGGCCAGGUGUGACCAGGGUGGUUCCAGGGUGGUUCCAGGGUGGUUCCAGGUGUGUCCAGGUGUGACCAGGGUGGUUCCAGGUGUGUUCAGGUGUGUCCGGGGCAGCUCCAGGUAUGUCCAGGUGUCCCCAGGUGUGUCCAGGAUGGUUCCAGGGUGGUUCCAGGUGUGUCCAGGUGUCCCCAGGUGUAUCUCAGGUGUCCCCAGGGUGGUUCCAGGUGUAUCUUAGGUGUCCCCAGAUGUAUCUCAGCUGGUUCCAGGUGUGUCCAGGUGUAUCUCAGGUGGUUCCAGGUGUAUCUCAGGUGGUUCCAGGUGUAUCUCAGGUGUCCCCA